rnacentral:hammerhead_ribozyme from 1 species
AUUCAACUGAUGAGUUUCAAAUAGGACGAAACGUGUGUUCUGGAU